AUCCAAGAUGAUCUUGUUGCAUUUGCUCGACUGUCACAAAGCUCAGUCCUGCUGCAGUGACACACACAUGUACAAUGAUACUUCAUUCAGUCAUUCUGUUCUCUGCCUUGACAUGUGUGAGUUUUGGAGAUGAAAUCACAGCAGACAGCACUGAGGAAUCUGCUGCAGUGGGUUCAACUGUUACUUUAUCCUGCAGUUAUUCCUCUGCAAAUACACUUCAGUGGUACCGUCAGUAUCCCGGAUCAGCUCCUCAAUUUCUUGUGCUCAUAAUGGAGAGUGUGAAAGAGACUAUGACAUCUGAUAUAGAUCCCAGAUUCUCCACUAAGCUCAGAAAAGAAAAACAAGCUACAAAAGAGAUCAAACGUGUGGAUCUGAUGAUCUCCUCUGCUGCUGUAUCAGACUCUGCUCUGUACUACUGCGCUCUGAGGCCCACAGUGACAGGAAACACAUCAACACUGUCUCAUGUGAUCUUUUCUCUCAAAGAGCUCUCUGGAAGAGGUGGAGUUUAA